UACGUAGGGGGCGAGCGUUGUCCGGAUUUAUUGGGCGUAAAGAGCUCGUAGGCGGUUCGGUAAGUCAGAUGUAAAAACUCCAGGCUCAACUUGGAGAGGCCAUCUGAUACUGCCGUGACUAGAGUCCGGUAGAGGAGCACGGAAUUCCUGGUGUAGCGGUGAAAUGCGCAGAUAUCAGGAGGAACACCAAUUGCGAAGGCAGCUCGCUGGGACGUGACUGACGCUGAGACGCGAAAGCGUGGGGAGCAAACAGG
rnacentral:rRNA from 1 species